rnacentral:rRNA from 1 species
GACAGGUGGUGCAUGGUUGUCGUCAGCUCGUGUCGUGAGAUGUUGGGUUAAGUCCCGCAACGAGCGCAACCCUUAUCUUCAGUAGCCAGCAGUAAGAUGGGCACUCUGGAGAGACUGCCAGGGAUAACCUGGAGGAAGGUGGGGAUGACGUCAAAUCAUCAUGCCCCUUAUGACUUGGGCCACACACGUGCUACAAUGGCGUAAACAAAGAGAAGCGAGAGCGUGAGCUGGAGCAAAUCUCAAAAAUAACGUCUCAGUUCGGACUGUAGUCUGCAACCCGACUACACGAAGCUGGAAUCGCUAGUAAUCGCGGAUCAGAAUGCCGCGGUGAAUACGUUCCCGGGUCUUGUACACACCGCCCGUCACACCAUGGGAGUUGGUAAUGCCCGAAGUCAGUGAUCCAAGAAAGGAAGCUGCCGAAGGCAGGACUGAUAACUGGGGUGAAGUCGUAACAAGGUAGCCGUAUCGGAAGGUGCGGCUGGAUCACCUCCUUUCUAAG